rnacentral:rRNA from 1 species
CGAGCACGCGCGUGUGGCAUAUCAAUAAGCGGAGGAAAAGAAACUAACAAGGAUUCCCUUAGUAACGGCGAGUGAAGCGGGAAGAGCUCAAAUUUGAAAUCUUCAAGGUUCUACCUUGACGAAUUGUAGUUUAUAGAAGUGUUUUCUGUUAGUGGAGUGGCAAAAGUUCUUUGGAAUAGGACAUCAUAGAGGGUGAGAAUCCCGUAUUUGGUCAUUCCUCCUAGCGUUGUGAUACACUUUCAACGAGUCGGAUUGUUUGGGAAUGCAGUCCAAAAUGGGUGGUAAAUUUCAUCUAAAGCUAAAUAUUGGCGAGAGACCGAUAGCGAACAAGUACCGUGAGGGAAAGAUGAAAAGAACUUUGAAAAGAGAGUUAAACAGUACGUGAAAUUGUCAAAAGGGAAGCGUUUGACACCAGUGUUGUUUUUCCGAAAAUCAAUUACGAAUGUUUUGUUUUUGAGGAGUUAUGACCUUAAUAGGCUUUCUUCACUCUUUCUAUGUAACUUUUUAAUGCACUUUUCGGUUAACAAGUCAACAUCAAUUUCUUUUGUUGUAAAGGGGUCAUUGAGGAAGGUGGCUUUCUUUUCGGAGAAAGUGUUUAUAGCCUUGUGAUCUCUGCAACCGGAGAGACUGAGGUCUGCAGCGUAGACUCCUUCGGGGAUAGAUACAUUUGUGCUAAGCUAUAGCUUUUCAUAGACAACUUGUUGACUAUAGUUUAGUCUUGUAGCUUACUCGCUUAUGCUAUUUUACCUACGCUUAGGAUGUUGAGUAGCGACAUACGCAC